rnacentral:rRNA from 1 species
CCUACGGGAGGCAGCAGUGAGGAAUAUUGGUCAAUGGGCGCGAGCCUGAACCAGCCAAGUCGCGUGAGGGAAGACGGCCCUACGGGUUGUAAACCUCUUUUGCCGGGGAGCAACGGGCGCCACGUGUGGCGCCACUGAGAGUACCCGGAGAAAAAGCAUCGGAUAACUCCGGGCCAGCCGCCGCGGUAAUACGGAGGAUGCGCGCGUUAUCCGGCUUUAUUGGGUUUAAAGGGUGCGUAGGCGGAGCGUUAAGUCAUUGGUCAAAUUGAGGGUCUCAACCCCUUCCCGCCAUUGCAACUGGCGCUCUUGAGUGGACGAGAAGUAUGCGGAAUUCGUGGUGUAGCGGUGAACUGCUUAGAUAUCACGCAGAACCCCGAUUGCGAAGGCAGCAUUCCGGCUUCCGACUGACGCUGAAGCACGAAAGCGUGGGGAUCGAACAGGAUUAGAUACCCCAGUAGUC